rnacentral:rRNA from 1 species
UACGUAGGGGGCAAGCGUUGUCCGGAAUUAUUGGGCGUAAAGAGCGCGUAGGCGGUCCGGUAAGUCGGUUGUGAAAGUCGGGGGCUCAACCCUCGGAUGCCGAUCGAUACUGUCGGGCUAGAGUCCGGAAGAGGCGAGUGGAAUUCCUGGUGUAGCGGUGAAAUGCGCAGAUAUCAGGAGGAACACCAAUAGCGAAGGCAGCUCGCUGGGACGGUACUGACGCUAAGGCGCGAAAGCGUGGGGAGCGAACAGG